GACGAACGCUGGCGGCGUGCUUAACACAUGCAAGUCGAACGGAAAGGCCUGCUUUCCCUUGUGGAUUGCGGGUACUCGAGUGGCGAACGGGUGAGUAACACGUGAGUGAUCUGCCCCCAACUUGGGUAUAAGCCUGGGAAACUGGGUCUAAUUCCCGAUAGGACUGCAGGGUGGUGCCUGUGGUGGAAAACGAUUUUCUAGUGGUUGGGGAUGAGCUCGCGGCCUAUCAGCUUGUUGGUGGGGUAAUGGCCUACCAAGGCGGCGACGGGUUGCCGGCCUGAGAGGGUGGACGGCCACAUUGGGACUGAGAUACGGCCCAGACUCCUACGGGAGGCAGCAGUGGGGAAUAUUGCACAAUGGGCGGAAGCCUGAUGCAGCGACGCCGCGUGGGGGAUGACGGCCUUCGGGUUGUAAACUCCUUUCGACCGCGAGGAAGCCACCUGGUUGGAAGAGUGGUGACGGUAGUGGUAGAAGAAGCACCGGCUAACUACGUG
rnacentral:rRNA from 1 species